UUGGGAGUAUAGCUUAGUGACAGAGUGCAUGCUUAGCAUGUGGGAGGCCCUGGGUUCAAUCCCCAGUACCUAAA
rnacentral:tRNA from 1 species